CCUACGGGUGGCAGCAGUGAGGAAUAUUGGUCAAUGGACGCAAGUCUGAACCAGCCAUGCCGCGUGCAGGAAGACGGCUCUAUGAGUUGUAAACUGCUUUUGUACGAGGGUAAACGCAGAUACGUGUAUCUGUCUGCAAGUAUCGUACGAAUAAGGAUCGGCUAACUCCGUGCCAGCAGCCGCGGUAAUACGGAGGAUACAAGCGUUAUCCGGAUUUAUUGGGUUUAAAGGGUUCGUAGGCGGUCGGAUAAGUUAGAGGUGAAAUCCCGAGGCUCAACUUCGGAAUUGCCUCUGAUACUGUUCGGCUAGAGAGUAGUUGCGGUAGGCGGAAUGUAUGGUGUAGCGGUGAAAUGCUUAGAGAUCAUACAGAACACCGAUUGCGAAGGCAGCUUACCAAGCUACUUCUGACGUUGAGGCACGAAAGCGUGGGGAGCAAACAGGAUUAGAUACCCCUGUAGUC
rnacentral:rRNA from 1 species